AUUCGGCAAAGAAUUGUUAAGAUACAGGCCCAUGUGAGGGGACACCAGGUAAGGAAGCAAUAUAGAACAAUAAUCUGGUCAGUUGGAAUUUUGGAGAAGGUUAUUUUGCGUUGGAGACGUAAAGGAAGUGGUCUGCGGGGAUUCCGCCGAGAUGCACUUACUAAGGAUUCCAAUAUGCAAUGCGUGCCUUCUUCGGAAGAGGACGAUUAUGAUUUUCUUAAGGAAGGAAGGAAGCAAAAUGAGGAAAGGCAGCAAAAAGCACUAACGAGGGUGAAAUCCAUGUAUCAUUCUGAGGAAGGACAAGCUCAAUACAGGAGGUUGCUGACUUAUUUUGAAAAAUUCGAGGAACCUAAGGAAUGUAAUAUGGUGCUGAGCACUCAAAAUGAAGCAGUGUACGAUGACGGGGAAGUUGUUAUUGACUCACUUUUGGAUGAUGACACGUUCAUGUCAAUAGCAUUUGAGUGAAAUUGGGCAGUAAUGAUUUGCCUCAUCUGUAGAUAGAUGAAUGCCCUAACUGCAUGCCUGUAUUAUAUAAAUAUCUAACCAAUGUAGAAACUUAUUGCCUUUUGGUGAUAUGAGGAUUUGUAUG
rnacentral:misc_RNA from 1 species